rnacentral:lncRNA from 1 species
ACCGUUACCGGUAAAUUUGACGCCGUCAAAUUACAAGAGAAACUGGUUGAGAAAUCUAAGAAGAAAGUUGAACUCCUAACGCCGCCACCAAAGAAAGACGGCCCCGCCGCUGAGAAACCGGCGGAGAAGAAAUCCGACGAGAAAAAACCUGAAGAGAAGAAAGCUGAAGAGAAAAAACCUGAAGAAAAAAAGCCUAAAGAGGUAAUUUAAUUUUUAAAUUAUUUAUUUAAUUCUUAAUUUUCUUCAUAUGCUUAAUUUCACUAACCGACUUUGUAUUAAUUAAUUUAUUUCAGAGUACGGUGGUUUUGAAGAUCAGAUUGCACUGUG